AGGGAAACAAGCCAAACCUGUCGCGAGGCGGGGACGGAAAGCCACGGGUCUUGAUCCAUCAAGACGGCCGGGUUGCCCCG
rnacentral:ncRNA from 1 species